UCUUACCUCUGGCGGCGUGCCUAAUACAUGCAAGUCGAGCGAACAGACGAGGAGCUUGCUCCUCUGACGUUAGCGGCGGACGGGUGAGUAACACGUGGAUAACCUACCUAUAAGACUGGGAUAACUUCGGGAAACCGGAGCUAAUACCGGAUAAUAUAUUGAACCGCAUGGUUCAAUAGUGAAAGACGGUUUUGCUGUCACUUAUAGAUGGAUCCGCGCCGCAUUAGCUAGUUGGUAAGGUAACGGCUUACCAAGGCAACGAUGCGUAGCCGACCUGAGAGGGUGAUCGGCCACACUGGAACUGAGACACGGUCCAGACUCCUACGGGAGGCAGCAGUAGGGAAUCUUCCGCAAUGGGCGAAAGCCUGACGGAGCAACGCCGCGUGAGUGAUGAAGGUCUUCGGAUCGUAAAACUCUGUUAUUAGGGAAGAACAAAUGUGUAAGUAACUAUGCACGUCUUGACGGUACCUAAUCAGAAAGCCACGGCUAACUACGUG
rnacentral:rRNA from 1 species